rnacentral:rRNA from 1 species
UACGUAGGGGGCGAGCGUUAUCCGGAAUUACUGGGCGUAAAGCGCACGCAGGCGGUUCGCCAAGUUUGGAGUGACAGUUGUCGGCUCAACCGACAAAGGACUUCAAAAACUGGUGAACUGGAGGACGAGAGAGGAACAUGGAACUCCAGGUGUAGUAGUGAAAUGCGUAGAUAUCUGGAAGAACACCAAUGGCGAAGGCAAUGUUCUGGCUCGUUUCUGACGCUCAGGUGCGAAAGCCAGGGGAGCGAACGGG